CUACUCUAGACAUAAAGCCACAAUCCACCGCUUCUGUUUUUUUCUUGCUCAUUCUAGACUUCUUCAUCAGUCUUCGAGAACGACUGCUGUAAACCCAAAGCUUUCCAUCUUUGAUUCAGCAAAGAUUAAAUUGAAGCUAGAAGAGGCGAAGGAAGCUACUCUUACUUUUAAUCUUUGAUUCAGCAAUCGACAAUCUACCUUUUACUCUUGCUGUGCGUUUAUUUUAGCGGCUUUGGGUUGAUGAAUUAAUUGAUUCUGUGUUGCUCAAUUCAUCGUUUUUGAAUGGGUUUUGUGUUGCUCUUUGGGAUACAUUUCUUUCUUUCUCGGAUUGUAUGUUUUUGCUAACAUUUGUUUUGGGUUUUUGUAGGUGAUCUUCAUGUUUUGGGUACCACAAUCGAUGACGCUUGGAAAGAGAUUGAAGGGAGUAGAGGAACAAGUUCCGAUGUCUACUGCCUAUCCAACCCGGAGACUCUUAUUCACGGUUGAGUGUUGGUCCUUCCUUCACAUAUGAAGCAUUUUCGCCUUUUUUCUAGCAGGAGCAAAGGUCGUCGCAAGGGUCCAUUCAAUCUUCAAAACUAAAAGCAUAUCCAGACCAACGAGGUGUUGUUUAUGAAUCUGUUUUUCAAUCUGGGUGUUGCUUAUAUAAUCUCGGUUUCUUGAUGUUAUUAUUUUCUUUGUAUGAUUCUGCAAAAUGAAGGUAUACCUGAAAAUAAAGUGGCUAAUCUGUUGCUUAAAGUCUUUGUUUGUACCUGCAAGAUGAACAUCACAAAUAAUUAAUGAAUGGAUAACUAUUAAAAGGGAAAGAUUACCUGAAAAUUUUCAACUGAGUGCUCAGUUAUUGAAGUUGACUUGGUGGACUUGAUUCCGGCAACAAAUUUGAAGUCUUGCUUUGAAAAAAACCAAUUUUGGUAAGAUUUCAAGCUUUUUACUUUGUUUGUUAUUAAAGAGUUGUUUUCAUUGUUACUUACUUUGAUUUACCUUCAUGUUCUGAAGAUUUUUUUGAUCUUAAGGUUAUCCAAUGUUCUUUGUCAGCUAAUGAGCUUGGCCAAUUGUUAAGACAUUUGCUUGAAUUGGUUAUGUAUUCGUUUGCUUUGCCUAUGUUCCAAUUUUAUAUUUGUUUGAAUUGGUUAUGUAUACACGUUUUUAACUUGCUUUCUUUACUUCUAUUUGUAAUGGUAAUGAUUUAAAGGGAGGAGACACGACGAUAGAUGAGGUGAGACAACUGAGGUUUAUAGGUAUGUGGUUAAUGAUUGUAAUCUAAUCGCCUUCCCAUUAGAAUCUGAAAUUUGGAAUCGAUAAAUUCACUUCAGAGGGAGUUAACAGCCUCUCAUGGUCUCUUUGUUAGUCCUUGCCCUGCUUUUCUAGGUACAUACUGGGAGGUUUUUUUUUUUUUGUCCACUUCUGUUUCACAAGUUGGAACAAAUGAUACAAAAUUCUUUGAUAUAAUUUAUUUUUACAUUUUUGGACACCUCUUGGAUUUUGUUACAGCAAAUAGAUACACUAGGUACUACUUUGAUGCACUGUCCCGAAAACAAUAAGGCUUUUAAGUUUGUUAUUGUGGAGCUCUGAUGUUGUUAAAUGAAUACUAUGUAAAUGAAGUGGCUGUUGAACAAUUGAAUUUGAAUUCAUUGUCAUUUAUUUAUGUGCUUACCUAUGGCAUCAGAUACAUUGCAUGGUCUGUUUGAUUUUGCAUUCAAUUUUACGAAAUUUUUUUUUUUUUUUUGAUAAUGUCCAAUUUAUUCUGAUUCAUUCUUCUUCCAGAUUUACCUGUGGGGAGUAACAUCCUUCCAAUUCUGAACGUCCGCCAUGUGUAUACUGAAACGAAAAGAUUUUGCCUUUUUUCCCUUUAGAGAAGAGCAUGACGGGAGAGCCUGGAGAUGUAUAAUGGCUCAGUGCUCAUUGCUCAUUCCGAACACGGAACAUGCCAACAUGGGGUUGAAGGCCAGUUACCUUUUUAAUAGUUUAGUUAGCAGCAAAUCUAUAAUUUAGAGUUGUGAUUUGUUGGAAGGGUGGAGUAGCAAGGAACUUUAUUCACUUUUGGUGUAAUGACACAGCUACCUACACUAUAGUGAAGUGCUUGGGUUUAGAUUGUUGGGACAAUAUCUUGACAUUUCUGUGUGAUGGAAUAAAUUUUGAUCAGCUACCAUCUCUAGCUUGCAGAGAGAUUGAAAUGUAUGCGAAGCAUAGAACUAUCAUUUUAGCGGUCUUGAUAUUUUUCCUUCCUACAAGCAAGAAAAAACAACGAAGGAAUAGAAAGAACAAAGCAUAUGCAGUUGUCGGACACUCAAAAGUGGGGAGAUUGCCUCCAUCUAUAUGGCAAUCUUUUAUAGUGAAAUCACAUCUACCAUUUUGUGAUGAGAUAAUGGUUA